rnacentral:lncRNA from 1 species
AAACUGUAAGAGGGGGAUGGGUGUAGAAACAGCUGUUCUGGAGCUCCAGGGAAGGCUGAUGACAGCAGGAAGGAAAGAGCACACAGCACGGCAGGAGCAGAGAGUCAGUUUCCAUGAUGAAUUUGAGGACGAAGAGCAACUUUUUUGGCAAGAAGUUCACUGUCCUGGUAAACACGAUAAAGGGGGUGCAACAUAUGUGCUGAAGUCAUUUAAGGGCAGAGGAAUCAGCAGAGGACCUCUGAAAACCUGGAAGGACAGGACAGGUUGUGGUGCUGCACAAACCUAGAGAUGAAACAGGGAAGAAUCAGAAUUAGGUAAAGUUCUUUUAGCAAGAGGAUACAUUAUAAUUAUUCAACAGCAUGCCCCUGGGAUUGUGCUGAGAAUUUGCCUAUCAUCUCUCUGGCCUGUAGCCAGAACUGCUUCCCAGCUGAGUGGAAUUGUCCAAGCAGAUGUUCCACAAACUGCUGCUCAUGACUUUUAAUUACCUUUAGGGCAAAAACUGACAUAUGAAAGAGUAACAGCGCAGCAUGACAGAAGUAAUGAUUUUCUGUGCUUUUAUUUCAGAAACUAGGAAUAGGAAUAGUUCCUCCCUUCCAUCCUUCUAUUACAAUAACGAGCUCCAGGACCAGGGUGCUUUUGUCUCUAGUCAUCCUUUGGACAAGAACAGGCAACACAAUAGUUAUUCAAGACCCAAAUGGGAUAAAACCAGGUUGUAAUUUAACAACAAAAUAGCAGCUUGGGCUUGUGUUGCAGCUGUAUUAAACAUUUUUAGAAUUCAAGUGUUCUCUCAUGGCAUAGAAUAAAAAUGCAG